rnacentral:rRNA from 1 species
GACGAACGCUGGCGGCGUGCUUAACACAUGCAAGUCGAACGGAAAGGCCCUGCUUGCAGGGUACUCGAGUGGCGAACGGGUGAGUAACACGUGGGUGAUCUGCCCUGCACUUCGGGAUAAGCCUGGGAAACUGGGUCUAAUACCGGAUAGGAGCCAUUUUUAGUGUGAUGGUUGGAAAGUUUUUUUCGGUGUAGGAUGAGCUCGCGGCCUAUCAGCUUGUUGGUGGGGUAAUGGCCUACCAAGGCGGCGACGGGUAGCCGGCCUGAGAGGGUGGACGGCCACAUUGGGACUGAGAUACGGCCCAGACUCCUACGGGAGGCAGCAGUGGGGAAUAUUGCACAAUGGGCGCAAGCCCGAUGCAGCGACGCCGCGUGGGGGAUGACGGCCUUCGGGUUGUAAACUCCUUUCGCUAGGGACGAAGCUUUUUGUGACGGUACCUAGAGAAGAAGCACCGGCUAACUACGUG